rnacentral:lncRNA from 12 species
CACAGACCUUGCAUUUACCAUUUCAAUAAAAUCAGUUGUGUUCUUUUCUUGUAGUAAACAGAAUUCUGGAGACUAAGCUCGAGGAUUCACAGCAAUAAGAAUUCCUGAGAAGCCAGUCAAAUGUUAAUCUGUAUUAAAGACCUACUGCUCCCUGUGGAGUUGCCUGCCAAAGGCCAGGUGGAGGUGAGAGCACCUAUAGGAAGAACCCAGAUGGAAAGAUGGACAAAAGUGUUGGAAAACACACCUGCUUCAUAAAAUCAGUGGCUGCAGUGUGUGUUGCUGGCAUGAGCAAGGGGGAUCUGACCACGAUGUGCGUGAGGAAAACUCAGGUGUGGAUUGGUGAGGUAUUCUCAUUCUCUUAAUUGCUGUGAGACAAGGAAGCAGAGCUGGACAGGUAAGUUCUGCACACAGAUAAUUGCUUUUGGUGCUUGACAGAAGCUGUAAACACUGGUCAAUUCCCUGUAAA